AUACUGUGAUGAGGACAUUUUCUCAACAUCUCCUUGAACCUUUCCCAAGAAUCAUAUAAAGAUUCCCCAUCCAGCUGAUAAAAAUUAUUGAUUCCCCCCCUCGGUUU